rnacentral:lncRNA from 1 species
AUGCGAGCGCUCAGUUCCUCGACGUGGGUCAUUAGUCAGUUUUUCUCUCCUCCAGGUUUCCUUGGCGGAGGAGAUCAAGCCGCUGAAGUGGUACCCCUCCGUUUACCUGCUGGUGUCUAUCUUUCCCCUCAUCAACAGCUGGCUCUGCAGUCGCGGCUGUGUGACAGGACUCGGAUCGGAGAGUACCACCCCGGGGCGGUGCGCUACACCCAGGCUGACCUGGUCGACCUCAGCGAUGACGACGACGAUGACACCAACGUACUCUUCUACUCCCCUGACAUGACCCUGAAAGACAGAGGGCCCUGAGAGAGCGCUGGAGAGAAGGAGAGACAGGGAAAGAGAGGGAGCGACAAACGAGCUGAAGGAAAGGAAAACAAAGGAGGGUCAGAGCCAGGGAGAAACGCAGCGGAUUAGAAACUGAGGAGUAACAGGAGGUAGGGAGGGAAUGGAAGGGAAGAUUGGGGGGACAGUCAGGCAGAUAGAAGCCGGAGAUGAGCUGUCAGGUUCCAUUAUUAAUCCCCAUCCUUUACUAUUUAAUAUCCUAAAGACACACACACACACACACACACACACACGCACACAGUGAGAAGAGCUGCAGCUCCCUGCAAUGCCGCCAUCAGAGAGGAGCAAGAAAAGAGCAGAUCUGAAGACCCUCCUAAUGUUAAAGGCAUCUGCUGCAUCCCGAAGGUCUUAAAAUUAUUUCCCUCUCUGCACUGUCUUGUUGUUUCCUGCGUUCUGCAGCGUUUUUUGGCAAACCGCAAAAAUGAAAGGAGCAAGAAAGAACAACAUAAAGCACGGUUGAAAGACAAUCAUAACAAGGUGUUAGUUUAGCAUUCGCAGCAAUUACCUUUUUCACUUCUCUGCAGGGGACGAGGUGAAGAGCAGGCUUUUUAAAACGCACCCGGUGUGUUAGAUGUGAAAGCUUUUACAUCCAUGCUGAGAUUGAUCUGGGUACUGAACGGUGAGUUUCUGAUGGGGGAUGUGGGAUAGGGCGGAAAUACAGGAGGGGGUUUUAGAAACAGCGAAGAUGACUAGGCAGGGCAAGUGGAGUUCCAGCUCAUGAGUGUCUCUUGCAGUGAAUCUCCUCCCUCAGACAGUAUUUGUUUUUCUCUUUGCAUAUGGUAUUACUGUUGUUGCGACUUUCGCAACGCAUUCCUUUGAGAAAACUGUUUUUGUAUUUUUUUUUUUAUAAAACACUAUGCGUGUAUGUUUUUGUAUUUAUAACAGAUCAAUGUACUGUAUAUUUUUAGGAGUACACUAUAUUUUUGUACGUGCCUUGAACUGGGAUAUGAAGAAAAUGCUCCUCUCUGUCCAAACCUGCUGGUCUCACAUGACGGUCGAGUGUAUAGAGCCUUAUGAAUAACUAAACGACAAUGUAUUAGUCAAACAUACUCCCGCACACUCACUCACACACACACACACACACACACACACACUCUUUUCUAAGGUUCCUGUCAAAACAGGUUGGAAAAGAUGGCACACACUCGACACCCACGGCAUAGCAACAGCCUUUGGUGGUUCAUCAUUUCAUGGCCAUUGCCGUUGGUGCUGAGGGGACAUAGCUGAGGUGUGAUUGGCAGGAUAAUAGAGUCACUUCAUAUUCAACCUCAGCCCCUUCGGUUUUUCCCAUAUCUGGGUGGUUUCAUCACUGUUGGUGCCGCGCUGCCAGCUGUCAGCCGCCUCUCUGACAAGUUGAACUAAUGAACCCACACUUGACCCUUUUUACCCUUGAGUUGUUGAACUUUUCUGCUGGGCGUCAGUGACACCAGAGUGCAACUUUUCAGUUCACAGAGCCCCACCACUGUAUUACACACACACACACACACACACACACACUUGCACUGUGCCCAUGCCCCUCUUUUGGCACUGUUGCUGGUUUUACUUGACUGUGCACUCCAUCAAAUAAAUGAGCAGGAGAGACAUUUCAUAACAAAGCUGAGACUGGGCGUGUUUAUUUCAUUUUCGCAUUGAUGCGAUCCCUUACGCAGCUGAAGUGUGUCCGUUUAUAUGUGUGUGUGCGUGUGCGCGUUAAGACGUCUCUUAGACCUGGGCUGCUUAAAUAAUGGAUAUUAAUUAUUGGUCGGACUCUGCUGGCCCCUGCCAUGUCUCCAAAUCUGGUUAACUGGAUUUUGAUUAAUGGAACAUGCGCGCCAUGUCCUCCAGAAAAAGGCAGACCUCCGCACACCUCCACGGCUCUCCCGCAGACAAGCCCCUCACCGCACCCCCUGCACACAAAGAGCCCUGGAAAUAAGCGAAUCUCCCUGUCACGCAAGACGAAUUAUUAUUCCCCCCUCAUAUCGUCGCAUGCGCCGUAAUUGGAUACAAUUU